UAAAUUGCUGUUUUAUUUCUGUAGGUUCCAGAAUGGAUCAAAGCUGAAUUAGCCCAGUCUGAAGCGAUGUGGACAGGAUUUUCAGAAGCACAUUCCAGUGCAAGGAGAUGAAUUACUGAACGUGCGUUGCGUUCCGCUGCCUUCAGUGUCUGCAUUUUGCUGAGCAGCUUCUUUCCUGUAGCAACACAAGAAACAGAUCUUCAGCUGUUACCUUGACGCAACAGCAUGUGAUGACAAACCAAACGCCACUGUGAAAUAUGUCUAUCAUUCUUAUGAAUAAUUUUAGAUGUAUAAUAAUAAACUUACGGGAAUACGGAGGAAACACAGUGCAUACAAUCAUGAUCAAUAUUUACAGGACUUUGGUAGCACAAAAACUUCAGAUGGGUGAAAGAGAUCAUGGCGGACUUGUCCAUUUGAAGAAUGUAUACUGCCGCCGGACACUUGGUCUGAUGCACAUAAAUGAUAUUCUAGGCAGUGAUACUGAAAGGCGUGUGGUGCCUAUUAUUAUGGCGAAUGGAUUGAUUUCCUGAAUGUAUAUUGAGUUCAGUAUGUAACUCUUCUGGCGGAAAGCAGAAAAGUAAUUGAGAUAUCAGCAUUUUGAAGAAACAUUGCUACCACCUACAAGUCCACAUGGUGUUACUUACCCGGAAAAUCAGCAUUGACAUUCUGUGUAAAUGAUGUAGUAAUUUUAAACAUUUUUCAUAAAAUUACAACAGAGGCGUUGAAAGCGUAACAAACCUCAGCCACGUUAUUUCAAAUGAAGCAGACUAUGUGGAAUCAUACUUACAAUUCUUUACUAUUUUCAUAGUUCUUAAUCACAUCAACGUAAAGGUUUUGAAUUUCUUGUGUGAACAGUGACACUGGCUGUGCAGGAAAUCCACCAGGUAUUUGAAUUGCUGUACGUGACUGUUCAAACUGGUCCUCAACAAAUGCAGCCGUCUCAAUACUUCCUGAAAUUGGAAGGCACUUUAGGUUUACAGAGGGCGAACUCUUCACAUGAAUUUCUUAAAGCUGACAGGAUUCACUGACAGAUGAGUGAAUGUCUGCAUGACUAGUUCUACAGACACUGUGGUGACUUCAGAAUAAUAUACAAUCAAGAGAAUCCCAGGUCUGAUUCCUCAUGAUCCAGGAUGCAAAUGUUUCUGUGCUCAAACUGAAACAUGUACCUCCAUAAAUUUUAGACCAAAGCAAUGAGGAAAAUACCAAGUGUAGUUCACAGAUAAUGUUAAAUUACAGGUUCCCCUUCUAAGAUAUCAUUAUCACCAUUAUCUGAUUGUACCCUAUUAUUGGAAAGUAGUGGAAAUUUCUCACAGUCCAUACAAAAUUAUAUCUAAUGGUACAUUGGAACCACUGGAUUCAUAUCAUUAGACAUUUAAUGUCUUACUCAGUCAGGUCCUUAAAGGUACUUAGUUUUGUUGUCAGCCAUUGUCAGUCCUCAAAUUACAGACGGGGUUUCUGCGACAUAUGUAACCUGAAUAAAUUUAAAACAAUUUAGAAACCACGACAGGAGAGAAAGCGAACUUAAUAAAAUAUAAUGAUAAUCAUAAUGUUUUGCACUUACUUACCGCGAGACAACUGAGCUCCUUCUAAUUUAUAUUGUGUUAUUUCAAUGUCUUUCUUCUUCACCAAGUCAAAUAAUGAACGUUUUUGAGCUUGAAGUUGCUGUACCAUAAGCAAUAAUGGCAAAGUAAUUUCUUUGUAUAACUGUUGGCAUAAAAAAAAAAUGCAUUUCACUGUGGAAUCCUACUUUUGUUAAACAACAUCUCAAAAAGUUCUCUUACAAGGUACAGCACUGACUAUCACACUUACUACUGAACAGCUCAGCAGACAAGACAGAACCUAUUUGGAUCUGCCCUCAAUAGCUAAUUUUAAUGGACCCCCUACAGAGUAAGUGCCUUUCCCUUUGCCACAUCUUAAGAUGAGGGCAGAUCCAGUCCUCAAAACAAUGUGAAAUUUUGUAACAUCAGACAAUGGACAAAGUACAAAAACCCAACAAUCCAGAUUGUGUAUGAUCUGAAGCCUUCACGGCAACUGAGCAUAAUAAAUUCUUCUCGGGCUACCAGCCGUGUAAGGUGGCUUAAUGAAGAAAAUACUAAAAUUUUGAUUACCAUCUUUGCCCUCAUCCUCAGGGUACUAUUUUCUUCAUCAGUCCACCUUACAUGGCCGGUAGCCUGAGAAUAAUUUAUUAUAUUCUGGCUUUAUGCAGUGAAGAAUUGUUAACCUCUUGCACAACUCCCAUGCUGGAGGGUCAACCCUAGUCAGUUGUCUGCGACUGAUUAUUGAAUCUAUUUGGAGCUAACCCCCAUAUCUGGAGGUCUUUCUCCUUCCAUCUGCAAUUUGAGGAAGUGCCAUGCAAUGGUGACGAGGGACCCACGUAAACGGAUGUGGGUAAUUAUAAAUUAAUACAAAAUUUUCAUAGAAAAUCGUCAUGAAAACUGGUCAGUUAGGAGAUGGUAUAUUUUUUAGAAUAAUAGUACAAUAAAGUAGAAAGAAACAAAUUUAAAACAGUAUGUACUAGCUCAUAUAAGAUCAUGGGUUUGAUAAUAACUGGACAUUUUUGGAACAAACCAUAACUGUUAUAUAACAGCUACUACACUAUCCUGAUAUUUUGUUCGCUCUAAAGCAUGUUCUUGUCAUCUUGGUCUAUUCUUUUAUGUGCCUUCCAAAGUGUUUAUCUUAAAAUUCUCUCAAAGUC